rnacentral:rRNA from 1 species
GAUGAACGCUGGCGGCGUGCCUAAUACAUGCAAGUCGAGCGAACGGACGAGAAGCUUGCUUCUCUGAUGUUAGCGGCGGACGGGUGAGUAACACGUGGAUAACCUACCUAUAAGACUGGGAUAACUUCGGGAAACCGUGGCUAAUACCGGAUAAUAUUUUGAACCGCAUGGUUCAAAAGUGAAAGACGGUCUUGCUGUCACUUAUAGAUGGAUCCGCGCUGCAUUAGCUAGUUGGUAAGGUAACGGCUUACCAAGGCAACGAUGCAUAGCCGACGUGAGAGGGAGUGCGGCCACACGGGAACAGAGACAGGGCCCAGCCUCCACGGGAGGGAGCAAGCGGGGAUUCUUCGGCAAGGGGGAAAGGCGGGCCGGAACAACGCGGGGGGAUGAAUAAAGGUGUCGGGAGCUAAAAACUCUUUUAUAGGGAAAAAACAUAUGGUUAAUUACAUGUGCACAUCUUGAGGUUACAUAAUAAGAAAGCCACGGCAAACUACGUC